UGUUGCAUUUGUUCCUUUCUGUUUAUUUCUCUCUUUUUUUCCCCAUGUGUGUAUUUCUAAUAUGCCUUCCUGCUUCUUUCCACCAAUCUGUGUAUCUAGGAGUGCUGUGGUUGAGGCACAUGGGCAUAGAGAUUUGCUCAGGGUUUCAUGACUACUAGCAGAAAGUGCCAAUACAUCAGAAUACAUCAUUUCAUUCCCCUAUAUGACCAGGAGAUCAGUAUUUACAUAGUAUAUGUCAUUUGUGUUGUGUCAUAAAAUAAGGGAUAUUGGCAAUUUUAAAACAAAUUAAACAAGCUUAUUUGUAGCUAAU